GGAUGACACUUUUCGGAGCGUAAACUCCUUUUCUUAGGGAAGAAUUCUGACGGUACCUAAGGAAUAAGCACCGGCUAACUCCGUGCCAGCAGCCGCGGUAAUACGGAGGGUGCAAACGUUACUCGGAAUCACUGGGCGUAAAGGGCGCGUAGGCGGAUUAUCAAGUCUCUUGUGAAAUCUAAUGGCUUAACCAUUAAACUGCUUGGGAAACUGAUAAUCUAGAGUGGGGGAGAGGCAGAUGGAAUUGGUGGUGUAGGGGUAAAAUCCGUAGAUAUCACCAAGAAUACCCAUUGCGAAGGCGAUCUGCUGGAACUUAACUGACGCUAAGGCGCGAAAGCGUGGGGAGCAAACAGGAUUAGAUACCCUGGUAGUCCACGCCCUAAACGAUGUACACUAGUUGUUGGGGUGCUAGUCAUCUCAGUAAUGCAGCUAACGCAUUAAGUGUACCGCCUGGGGAGUACGGUCGCAAGAUUAAAACUCAAAGGAAUAGACGGGGACCCGCACAAGCGGUGGAGCAUGUGGUUUAAUUCGAAGAUACGCGAAGAACCUUACCUAGGCUUGAUAUCCAACAAAUUCUGUAGAGAUACGGAAGUGCUAGCUUGCUAGAAUGUUGAGACAGGUGCUGCACGGCUGUCGUCAGCUCGUGUCGUGAGAUGUUGGGUUAAGUCCCGCAACGAGCGCAACCCACGUAUUUAGUUGCUAACAGUUAGGCUGAGCACUCUAAAUAGACUGCCUUCGUAAGGAGGAGGAAGGUGUGGACGACGUUAAGUCAUCAUGGCCCUUAUGCCUAGGGCGACACACGUGCUACAAUG
rnacentral:rRNA from 1 species